rnacentral:lncRNA from 8 species
AUGUUGUCCCCCCAUCCUCCUGCCCCCCACCCUCUCAUCCUCCUGUCCACCCUAUCCUCCUGCCCCCCACCCUCUCAUCCUCCUGUCCCUCCCAUCCUCCUGUCCACUCCAUCCUCCUGUGCCCCAUCCUCCUGUCCCCAUCCUCCUGUCCCCAUCCUCCUGUCCACUCCAUCCCCUGUCCCUCCCAUCCUCUUGUCCCUCCCAUCCUCCUGCCCCCCACCCUCUCAUCCUCCUGUCCCCCUAUACUCCUGUCCACUCCAUCCUCCUGUCCCUCCCAUCCUCUUGUCCCUCCCAUCCUCCUGCCCCCCACCCUCUCAUCCUCCUGUCCCCAUCCUCCUGUCCCCUCCAUCCUCCUGUCCUCCCAUCCUCCUGUCCUCCCAUCCUCCUGUCCCUCCCAUCCUCCUGUCCCCUCCAUCCUCCUGUCCACUCCAUCCUCCUGUGCCACAUCCUCCUGCCCCCCACCCUCUCAUCCUCCUGUCCACCCUAUCCUCCUGUCCCCUCUGUCCUCCCAUCCUCCUGUCCCCCAUCCUCCUGUCCCCUCCAUCCUCCUGUCCUCCCAUCCUCCUGUCCACUCCAUCCUCCUGUCCUCCCAUCCUCCUGUCCACUCCAUCCUCCUGUCCACUCCAUCCUCCUGUCCCCUCCAUCCUCCUGUCUAUUCCAUCCUCUCCCUCCCAUCCUCCUGUCCCUCCCAUCCUCCUGUCCACUCCAUCCUCCUGUCCACUCCAUCCUCCUGUCCCUCCCAUCCUCUUGUCCACUCCAUCCUCCUGUCUAUUCCAUCCUCUUGUCCACUCCAUCCUCCUGUCCCCAUCCUCCUGUCCCCUCCAUCCUCCUGUCCCUCCCAUCCUCCUGUCCACUCCAUCCUCCUGUGCCCCAUCCUCCUGUCCCUCCCAUCCUCCUGUCCACUCCAUCCUCCUGUCCCUCCCAUCCUCUUGUCCCUCCCAUCCUCCUGCCCCCCACCCUCUCAUCCUCCUGUCCCCAUCCUCCUGUCCACUCCAUCCUCCUGUCCCUCCCAUCCUCUUGUCCCUCCCAUCCUCCUGCCCCCCACCCUCUCAUCCUCCUGUCCCCAUCCUCCUGUCCACUCCAUCCUCCUGUCCCUCCCAUCCUCCUGUCCACUCCAUCCUCCUGUGCCCCAUCCUCCUGUCCCCAUCCUCCUGUCCACUCAUCCUCCUGUCCACUCCAUCCUCCUGUCCACUCAUGCUCUUGUCCACUCCAUCCUCCUGUCCCUCCCAUCCUCCUGUCCACUCCAUCCUCCUGUGCCCCAUCCUCCUGUCCCCAUCCUNNNNNNNNNNNNNNNNNNNNNNNNNNNNNNNNNNNNNNNNNNNNNNNNNNCUGUUGAGGCUGGGGGGGGGGUUCUCUAAUGGAACAGGAUAG